rnacentral:rRNA from 1 species
GACGAACGCUGGCGGCGUGCUUAACACAUGCAAGUCGAACGGAAAGGCCCUGCUUUUGUGGGGUGCUCGAGUGGCGAACGGGUGAGUAACACGUGAGUAACCUGCCCUUGACUUUGGGAUAACUUCAGGAAACUGGGGCUAAUACCGGAUAGGAACUCCUGCUGCAUGGUGGGGGUUGGAAAGUUUCGGCGGUUGGGGAUGGACUCGCGGCUUAUCAGCUUGUUGGUGGGGUAGUGGCUUACCAAGGCUUUGACGGGUAGCCGGCCUGAGAGGGUGACCGGCCACAUUGGGACUGAGAUACGGCCCAGACUCCUACGGGAGGCAGCAGUGGGGAAUAUUGCACAAUGGGCGGAAGCCUGAUGCAGCAACGCCGCGUGCGGGAUGACGGCCUUCGGGUUGUAAACCGCUUUCGCCUGUGACGAAGCGUGAAUGACGGUAAUGGGUAAAGAAGCACCGGCUAACUACGUG